AGGAGCGUAGCUCAACUGGUUAGAGUAUCGGUCUCCAAAACCGACGGUUGGGGGUUCGAGUCCCUUCGCUCCUG
rnacentral:tRNA from 1 species